rnacentral:rRNA from 1 species
CCAAUAGCGUAUAUUAAAGUUGUUGCAGUUAAAAAGCUCGUAGUUGAAUUUCAGGCCUGGCUGGACGGUCCGCCCUUCGGGUGAGUACUGUCUGUGGUCGGGUCCUACCUUCUGGCGAAGCGUCAUGGCCUUAACCGGCCGUGGCGGGGAACCAGGACUUUUACUGUGAAAAAAUUAGAGUGUUUAAAGCAGGCUCGCGCUUGAAUACAUUAGCAUGGAAUAAUGAAAUAGGACGUUUGAUUCUAUUUUGUUGGUUUCUAGGAUUGACGUAAUGAUUAAUAGGGAUAGUUGGGGGCAUUAGUAUUCAAUUGUCAGAGGUGAAAUUCUUGGAUUUAUUGAAGACUAACUACUGCGAAAGCAUUUGCCAAGGAUGUUUUCAUUAAUCAAGAACGAAAGUUAGGGGAUCGAAGACGAUCAGAUACCGUCGUAGUCUUAACCAUAAACUAUGCCGACUAGGAAUCGGAUGAUGUUAAUUUUUUAAUGACUCAUUCGGCGCCUUACG